GAUGAAGAACGUAGCGAAAUGCGAUACGUAAUGUGAAUUGCAAAUUCAGUGAAUCAUCGAGUCUUUGAACGCACAUUGCGCCCCCUGGUAUUCCGGGGGGCAUGCCUGUCCGAGCGUCAUUGCUGCCCUCAAGCACGGCUUGUGUGUUGGGCCCCGUCCUCCGAUCCCGGGGGACGGGCCCGAAAGGCAGCGGCGGCACCGCGUCCGGUCCUCGAGCGUAUGGGGCUUUGUCACCCGCUCUGUAGGCCCGGCCGGCGCUUGCCGAUCAACCCAAAUUUUUUAUCCAGGUUGACCUCGGAUCAGGUAGGGAUACCCGCUGAACUUAAGCAUAUCAAUAAGGGGAGGA
rnacentral:misc_RNA from 1 species